AACUUUUGACAAUGGAUCUCUUGGCUCUCGCAACGAUGAAGAACGCAGCGAAAUGCGAUAAUUAGUGUGAAUUGCAGAAUUCAGUGAAUCAUCGAAUCUUUGAACGCACAUUGUGCUUCCUGGUAUUCCGGGGAGCAUGCUCGUUUCAGAAUCAUUAGAACUUUCAAUUGUGUUUUUUGCUGCCUCGGCACAAUAAACAUUGAUUGGAUGUGAUCGUUUUCUUUGUUAACUUUUUGUUGACAAUCGCUUUAAAAUGAUUGUGUGUGUCUGCAGCCUUUGCUUCAGAUGACUCUCAGUGCAGCAAUAAAAUGAAUCACUUUGAUGUUAUAGGUAGCUUUGGACAAUCUGACGCAUCUUCCCAACCACAAAACCAGUGCACGCUUCAGCGCGCAGUGUUUUUGAUAACUUGGUCUGAAAUCGAGCAAGAAAACCCGCUGAACUUAAGCAUAUCAAUAAGCGGAGGAU
rnacentral:misc_RNA from 1 species